rnacentral:lncRNA from 1 species
CGGGAUUAAAACUUCGGCGUGGAGGCACAGGAUGGUCCAGGCGCGCUCCGUCCGUCCGUCCGUCCGUCCAGCCGCGGCUCGCUUUCCUACGGCUAAUGGCUCUCCGUCCGGACGCCAGAGCUUCGGCCGCCCCGCCCGCCCGCCCGCGCGCGCCCUGCCCCUCCCCUCCCCGACGGCCUCUUCUGGCCCUCUCGCCUUGCCUCUCGCCCGGAGAGCCGCCUGGGCGCAACGGAGGGGGGCCGCCGGGCAAAGCCGCGGGCGAGGCAUCUUCUGCCGCCGCUGGCCAAACCAGACCCGCAGAGAGGGGCACUGGGGGAGCGAGGCUGCCCCUCUCUGCGGGGCCGGGCCGGGCCGGGCCGCUCCCACCUUCCCUCGCGCCUCCGAAGGCCUCUUGGCAGGCGGGCGCCCCUUGGCAAGCGCCGCACCGGCACCGCCGGAGCGAGGGAGGGAGGGAGGCCCUUGGAGACCCUUUGCCGGUGACGUCGCGUCCCGAGCCCUCCCCCUCCCUCCUCNCCUCCCCUCCUCGCACGGCGCGAUCCGGCGGCGGCGGCGGCAGGAUAAAACCCUCCGGGCGCGCGGGCUCUGGGGCAUUGCUGGCGUCGAGGAUGGCGAGGCGGUGGGCUCCUUCUCUCCGGGCCGACGGCGGGGGCGUCGGCGCCCUCCUGCUCCUGCUUCUGCUCUUGAGCAGCCUCCCGGCGUCGUGGCAAGGAGGGAUUGGAGUCCCCGGGGGAAUNGGAGCAGGACUUGGAGGGACAGGAAUUGGUGUAGGAGCAAAACCUCCCAAACCAGGUGGUCUUGGGGUUGGAACUGGAGCACUAGGUGGCCUCUACCCAGGCGGGGUCUACCCAGGUGCUGGUGCUGUCGGAGCCGCCGCUGCUUACAAAGCCGCAGCCAAAGCUGGUGAGACAAAGCUAGCAAGGCCCCGCUGACCGUGGAGGUCCAUCCUCUCGCGGUUCUCCUCGCUUCAGCUUUUUCCAGCCCUCGCCUGCUUUCCCCAGAACGUGG